rnacentral:rRNA from 1 species
GAUGAACGCUGGCGGCGUGCCUAAUACAAGCAAGUCGAGCGAACAGACGAGGAGCUUGCUCCUCUGACGUUAGCGGCGGACGGGUGAGUAACACGUGGAUAACCUACCUAUAAGACUGGGAUAACUUCGGGAAACCGGAGCUAAUACCGGAUAAUAUAUUGAACCGCAUGGUUCAAUAGUGAAAGACGGUUUUGCUAUCACUUAUAGAUGGAUCCGCGCCGCAUUAGCUAGUUGGUAAGGUAACGGCUUACCAAGGCAACGAUGCGUAGCCGACCUGAGAGGGUGAUCGGCCACACUGGAACUGAGACACGGUCCAGACUCCUACGGGAGGCAGCAGUAGGGAAUCUUCCGCAAUGGGCGAAAGCUUGACGGAGCAACGCCGCGUGAGUGAUGAAGGUCUUCGGAUCGUAAAACUCUGUUAUUAGGGAAGAACAAAUGUGUAAGUAACUAUGCACGUCUUGACGGUACCUAAUCAGAAAGCCACGGCUAACUACGUG